rnacentral:rRNA from 1 species
UACAGAGGUCUCAACCGUUGUUCGGAUUCAUUGGGCGUAAAGGGUGCGUAGGCGGCGGGGUAAGUCAGGUGUGAAAUCUCGGGGCUCAACCCCGAAACUGCACUUGAUACUGCCUCGCUUGAGUACUGGAGAGGAGACUGGAAUUUACGGUGUAGCAGUGAAAUGCGUAGAUAUCGUUAAGGAAGACCAGUGGCGAAGGCGAGUCUCUGGACAGUUACUGACGCUGAGGCACGAAGGCCAGGGGGAGCAAAACGGGG